rnacentral:tRNA from 2 species
AGGCGCGUAGCUCAGUUGGUUAGAGCACCACCUUGACAUGGUGGGGGUCGUUGGUUCGAUUCCAAUCGCGCCUA